rnacentral:tRNA from 1 species
UGGCUCAGUGGUAGAGCACCUGCCUAGUAAGCAGGAUGCCCCAGGUUCAAGUCCAGU